CUAGUUUAUCUAAGUUUGUAAAAAACGGCAAGUACCUUACGUAUUCGAGCGCAAAAAGCAUUAUCCUAUCGAACUAAUCCAGUUAAUGCGUUAUUGGCAGCGUAUUUUAUUUUGAUAUAUGGAUACCUGUCAUGACAGGAUAGGUUGGUUAUAAAAUGGAUUUAACAUGAAGUGCACCUUUCAUAGACUUAUUGGAUUUUGAAACAUAAUUAACCAUCGACCGAGCCCUACCUUCUUCAUUACUUACUUUAAUACACCCAGAUUAACACUGUUCCGAGGGCGGGAUUAGACUAUCAUGUCAAGGUUUGCAAAAUCAGUCGGUUAAAAAUGGAAAUUUAUAAUAAAGUACGCCGGAGCUUUCAAGCCGGAUCAUCCCAUAUCCGCUAGAGCUUUGUACACGCUCGAGGAUAAUCAAGACAAAUACGUUUCAACUUCUCCUCACCUCGACGUUUUAUUGUCUUUAAAUUAUGCCUAUUUUUUGUUGCGAAAUGUGAUUGACGCCGAGACAAAUGGGACAUUGUGCUCGAAAGCUCUACUGCGAAAUUUCUUACUAUUCAACUCUUGGAAUCGGAGUAUCAGCUUGCUUAAUUAGAACGGUUCAAAAGUACCAUCCGCCCCGAGCCAUUGUCACGCUGACAAAGAAAAUACAACACACUUAAAAUGUGAACAAUAUUUGUGGGUCGAUGCGGUGCUUGGGGUUUAAUUGCUUUAAAAUUACAUUCCGUUUGGAUGGGGAGCUUUUUUAGAACUUUACGUGGAACAUCCAAAGUGUUGUCGUUACCAACAAAUUAAAAAAAGUUUGUUGCCAAUUUUUGUCAUGUCUAUUUUGACAACUAUAAUAUACUUCAACAGAAUGAAGUUGUCAAUUUUCGCUUUGAUAAUGGUUUACUGUAUUUGCCAGAUGAAUUCGUCCAUUCUAGCUGCUAUAGUACUAAAUCUACCAAAUCCUCGACGCAAACCUGGGGGUUGUUACGAACAGGAGACUGGAUAUUUAAAAGGCGGACAGAAAAAAACCCUUCCAGAAAAAUGCAUUCAAGCUUUGUGUUCUCCAGAUGGAAGCAUGGAAUACAUGAGUUGUGGAGUCGCCCACAUCGACAAAAAGUCGCCAUGUUAUAAAAGAGGAGAUCCCAAAGAACCGUACCCAAAAUGCUGUGAUCGUCUUACAUGUGUAUAAAGAAAAUCCUUCACGAUAUACCUAAAGUUAUGAUAAUGUAUAUUUUACAAGUGUUAAAAUUAUACCUAUGUAAACAAUUA